GUGGGGAAUCUUGCGCAAUGGGCGAAGCCUGACGCAGCCAUGCCGCGUGAAUGAUGAAGGUCUUAGGAUUGUAAAAUUCUUUCACCGGGGACGAUAAUGACGGUACCCGGAGAAGAAGCUCCGGCUAACUUCGUGCCAGCAGCCGCGGUAAUACGAAGGGGGCUAGCGUUGCUCGGAAUUACUGGGCGUAAAGGGCGCGUAGGCGGACAGCUUAGUCAGAGGUGAAAGCCCAGGGCUCAACCUUGGAAUUGCCUUUGAUACUGGCUGUCUUGAGUUUGGGAGAGGUGAGUGGAACUCCGAGUGUAGAGGUGAAAUUCGUAGAUAUUCGGAAGAACACCAGUGGCGAAGGCGACUCACUGGCCCAAUACUGACGCUGAGGCGCGAAAGCGUGGGGAGCAAACAGGAUUAGAAACCCUAGUAGUCC
rnacentral:rRNA from 1 species